rnacentral:piRNA from 1 species
UGCAAAUCUGUGUGGUUUUCAGGGUUGGC